rnacentral:rRNA from 1 species
AUCGAACCAUCUAGUAGCUGGUUCCCUCCGAAGUUUCUCUUAAGAUAGUUGGCACUCUUGUUGAAAAACGAGUCUCAUCUGGUAAAGCGAAUGAUUAGAGGCCUUGGGGCCAAAACGACCUCAAGUUAUUCUUAAACUUUAAAUGGGUGAGAUCUCUGGCUUUCUUGAACAAUGAAGCUGCAAGCUUUUUUUAAAUCGUCGGAUCAGAGUGCCAAGUGGGCCAUUUUUGGUAAGCAGAACUGGUGCUGUGGGAUGAACCAAACGCAGAGUUAAGGCGCCCAACCCGACGCUCAUGGGACACUAUGAAAGGCGUUGCUUAAGACAGCAGGACGGUGGCCAUGGAAAUCGGAAUCCGCUAAGGAGUGUAUAACACACGAGUCAGUCGAUCCUAAGCCUCAGGAAAAAUCCUAUGUCAAUGACGGCGCACUUGAGUGUCGAGAAGAAAAACUUUGUUGUUGUGUGUUGCGUUGUGGAUUGUGUUUUAUUUUUUUUUUUUUUUUAAAAGGAAAGAGAGAGGAGAGGAACAAAUCAAUCAUACAAAAAAAAACGCGCAUUAACACAAAAAAACAAAACAAAAGACACACGCCCGUCGGACAAAUGGGAGUCCGGUUCCUAUUCCGAAACCCGGCAGCGGAACUGCAUACAAUUCGAGCCCUCGUAAAAGUGUUCGUCGGGGUAACCCAAAAUGACCUGGAGACGCCGUCGGGAGGUCUGGGAAGAAUUUUCUUUUCUGUAUAAGCGUUCGAGUUCCCUGGAAACCUCUAGCAGGGAGAUAAGGUUUGAAACGCGAAGAGCACCGCAGUUGCGGCGGUGUCCGGAUCUUCGCCUCGGACCUUGAAAAUUUAGGAAAGGGCCACGUGGAGGUGUCGCGCCGGUCCGUACCCAUAUCCGCAGCAGGUCUCCAAGGUAAAGAGCUUCUAGUCGAUAGAAUAAUGUAGGUAAGGGAAGUCGGCAAAUUGGAUCCGUAACUUCGGAAUAAGGAUUGGCUCUGAGGAGCGGGGCGUGUCGGGCUUGGUCGGGAAGCGGGUCUGGCUGACGUUCCAGGCGAGGUGAACGCGGCCGGCGCGCGCGCUCCCGCGCGUGUCGUCGGUUCGGGAUCCGAGCUCGAUCCCGUGCCUUGGCCUCCCGCAGAUCUUUCUUGCUGCGAGGCUUCCAUGGCGGCGCGAGCCGUCGUCGUAGUCGUUCUCUUCGGCCGCCAUUCAACGCUCAGUUCAGAACUGGCACGGACUAGGGAAAUCCGAUUGUCUAAUUAAAACAAAGCAUUGCGAUGGCCCUCGCGGGUGUUGACGCAAUGUGAUUUCUGCCCAGUGUUCUGAAUGUCAACGUGAAGAAAUUCAAGCAAGCGCGAGUAAACGGCGGGAGUAACUAUGACUUUCUUAAGGAGGAGAGCAUUUGGCGUAAACGACACUUUAGUCUCCCUUAAGAGUAGUAUCAGUUGCUUGUGCUGGUGGAAAACUGCCCAGUCAAGCCAGGCACACGCCUCCUAGUAGUCCCGCCGGCCAACGACGUAUGUCGGCUAAAGUGUGCUUGACGACCAGAUGGGCCACUGGUAGCACCUUAAACCUCAUGACAAGGUCCGUUAGCAACAGAUCCCGUAUGGGUCUGUGAAGAUAUAGAACGAAUGUUUAAUUUGUUUAACUUAAUUUAAACAAUUUUAGUCAGCGACCAAACCAGGCCUUCUCUCAACCUGAGCUCUUGCGGACUUUGCAUUAAAGCGCGAAGAGAGCAGCAUACUCUCGUCAAUAGGGGGGAAGCGUCCUGGGAAGUAUUGAUUUUAAUGUAAAAGGUGAUAUUGUGUUCCAGUCAACAUUUGC